rnacentral:lncRNA from 1 species
AACUCAACAGCAAAAAAGCCAACAACCCAAUGUAAAAAUGGGCAAAAGACCUGAAUAAACAUUUCUCCAAAGAAGAUAUACAGAUGGCCAACAAGCAUAUGAAAAAAUGCUCAACAUCACUGACUAUUAGAGAAAUCCAAACCAAAACUACCAUGAGGUACCACCUCAGACCAGUCAGAAUGGCCAUCAUUAAUAAGUCCACAAAUAACAAAUGCUGGAGAGGGUGUGGAGAAAAGAGAAGCCUCCUGCACUUUUGGUAGGAAUGUAAGCUGGUACAAUCACUAUGGAAAACAAUAUGGAGGUACCUUAGGAAUCUAUACAUAGAACUACCAUAUGACGCAGCAAUCCCACUCUUGGGCAUAUAUCCAGACAAAACUUUCCUUGAAAAGGACACAUGCACCCCCAUGUUCAUUGCAGCUCUAUUCAAUAGCCAAGACAUAGAAACAACCUAAAAGUGUCCAUCAACAGAUGAAUGGAUUCAGAAGAUGUGGUAUAUAUACACAAUGGAAUACUACUCAGCCAUAAAAAAGAACAAAAUAAUGCCAUUUGCAGCAACAUGGAUGGAACUAGAGACUCUCAUACUGAGUGAAUGAAGGCUUAGAUCAAAUUUUGAGACCAGGGGACUGGUCGGAACAGAUUAUAAGCAGGUGGAUUAUUGCAGUAGUCUUUUCUUCAUCGCUGUAAAAGCUUCCUUGUUUGUCUAGCAAAUGCUUAUUAUGUGCCCAUGGUGUGUCAUUCCAUGGCACUAAAUGCCAAUGCAUCACAGACAGGCAGGCAGUUUCCAAUUUAUGAAUUUGUAACUUACUGCUUGUGCCCUCAGCCAAAGACCAUGAAGAACCACCCCCCACACCUUGUAGUUGAACAAGUUGAGUUUAUUACUUAUUGCAGUAAUCUGGGGACGUGUGGGGCAUCUCAGUGAGAGAGUCAGAAAGAAUCUGUUACAAGUUUGGGGCUUGGAUUGGGUGAUUUGGGAGAUGGUCUAAGGAAGCAGCAUUUGCUCCAGAUUGGUUGUUGUUAGAAAAAGAGGGGGUUUCUAUAUUUGGAUGUUUUGUGGAUGACAUAAUAACCAUAUUUUUGUCUGUGUUUAGAAUUAUGAAGUAGCCCUGUUCUGUUUCAUUUUUUCAUUGUCUCAGGGUGACCUUGUCUGGAGAUAAGAGAUUGUUAGUAUCCAAUAGGAGAAAAUGACCUGGCUCUCAAUGUCAGACCCAUUGGUAAUAACAUUGAGGACUACCUGUAAAAAUCAGCUGCAUAUAUCAAGGGCUGCUUUCUUUUGUUUUUCUUCUGUGCUGACGGGCCAGGGACUCUCCUCCCCACUGGGUACAGACCCCAGACUCACUCUGUUUCUUCACCCUGCUUUGCUUAGGGUGGCUCACUUUCCACCUUUGCCUCUGCUGUAGCCACCUGACCAAGGAUUCCUUUCCUGCCCUGUGGCCUGUGCCUGAACAGGAACAGAAUUGAGCCUCUCCCACACUGACCAGAUCAGAUGAGGAGACAGGUGUAUUGCAACUUCAAGUGCCCUGGGCAUCAUCAAUCUGCAAGCAACAUUCAUUCUCCGGACUCACCACCAUCCACUUCUAUCCAUUUCCACUGCCAAUACCUCAGGCCAACUUACUGUCUACUUUCAACAGGAGCAUUAGCCAUCUGGUAUCCCCACUGCCAUCCUUGACCCUUACAACUCCUCUUAUACACUGCUUCUAGAAUAAUCUUCCACAAAUGCAAACCUGAGAGUAUACUGCCCACCUUUAACUCUCCAUGGCAUUAAAGACAAGAGUGGUCUUAUUACAAAGCUUGUCAUGAUGUAACCUUUACCUAUCUUUCCAACACAGCUUUGUCUCACAUUGCUCUUAGUAAUCACACCACGAGACAGUUCUUUUUUGCUACUCAAAUGGCCUGUAUAGGCAUAUUUCUCCCAUGCUCUGACAUGGAUGACACAUGAUCUUCCUUCUACUUAGAACUCAUUUUUCCUCCUUUUCUCUCCAGCCUCCAGUUUACAGCUAACUAGCCCUUAACACCUCAGCCUAGUCCUGCCUUAAAUAAGCGGCCCCGGCCCAAGAAGCUCCCUUGUUGAAUGCGACCAUAACAUCAAAACCUCCUGUUCAUAACACUCCUCUCAUUAUUAUGAUCACUCAGCACCUGCCUUUGCCCAAAAACCGUUUGUUCCAUGAACAGAAGGAGCUUAUCUGAGUUUUUCACAGCUAUAUCCCAGUGCCUGGCAUACAGUGGGUGCUCAUCAAAAUAUUUACUGAAUAUAUGAACAUAAUAGUCCAUUAAUUAAAUUUGACAUACAAAUAAAAAUGCCAUAGUAAGUGCUACUACAUUAUAUAUCACUGUUAGUCCUAAGGCUUAUUUUAAAUUUAAUAAAUAGGAUUAUAUAAGCCAUCCAGAGAAAUUGAUUAGUAUGUCAAAUACUGUUCUGUGGGAAGAUGGGACCUGAAUUCUGGACAAAAAAACAUCAUAAAUAACUUCCUAUAACACAUCUCAGAGUAGAUGGGCUCUUUGUGAUUUUUCAUUUAUCUUUGUAUUAGAUCCUGUUUUCUGUCACACAUUUAAGUUUUAUAUUUUCAUCUCCUGUCACUUUAAAUAGGUCAUAGGAAC